UAUCUCUGUAGAGUCUGCAUAUCAAUAAGCGGAGGAAAAGAAACUAACUAGGAUUCCCUUAGUAACGGCGAGUGAAGCGGGAAGAGCUCAAAUUUGAAAUCUUCAAGGUUUUACCUUGACGAAUUGUAGUUUAAAGAAGUGUCUUCUGUUGGAAGUUUCGGUAAAAGUUCUUUGGAAUAGGACAUCAUAGAGGGUGAGAAUCCCGUAUUUGACCAUUAUUUUCAGCUGUGUGAUACACUUUCAAAGAGUCGGAUUGUUUGGGAAUGCAGUCCAAAAUGGGUGGUAAAUUUCAUCUAAAGCUAAAUACUGGCGAGAGACCGAUAGCGAACAAGUACCGUGAGGGAAAGAUGAAAAGAACUUUGAAAAGAGAGUUAAACAGUACGUGAAAUUGUCAAAAGGGAAGCGUUUGACACCAGUGUUGUUUUCUCGAAAAUCAAUUAAAAAAGGCAGGAUUUUGUGUUGUAUUGACUUUAUCAGCUUUCUGCACUCUUUUCUUGUCUUUUUUUAAUGCACUUUUCGUUUAACAAGUCAACAUCAAUUUCUUUUGUUGUAAAAGGGUCAUUGGAAGGUGGCUUUCUUUUCGGAGAAAGUGUUUAUAGCCUUUGGCCUCUGCAAUCGGAGAGAUUGGGGUCUGCAGCGUAGAUCCUUCGGGGUUAGAUACAUUUGUGCUAAGUUAUAGCCUUUCAUAGACAACUUGUUGACUAUGAUCAGUCAUGUAGCUUACUCGCUUAUGCUACUUUACCUACGCUUAGGAUGUUGAAGAUGUAGCACAUCAU
rnacentral:rRNA from 1 species